rnacentral:rRNA from 1 species
CGUAGGGGCGAGCGUUGUCCGGAAUCAUUGGGCGUAAAGCGCGCGCAGGCGGUCCCUUAAGUCUGAUGUGAAAUCUUGCGGCUCAACCGCAAGAGGUCAUUGGAAACUGGGGGACUUGAGUGCAGGAGAGGGAAGCGGAAUUCCAUGUGUAGCGGUGAAAUGCGUAGAGAUAUGGAGGAACACCAGUGGCGAAGGCGGCUUCCUGGCCUGUAACUGACGCUCAGGCGCGAAAGCGUGGGGAGCAAACAGGAUU